AGAGUUUGAUCGUGGCUCAGAAUCAACGCUGGCGGCGUGCCUCAGACAUGCAAGUCGAACGAUUAAACUUCUCUUCGGAGAAGAUAUAAAGUGGCGCACGGGUGAGUAACACGUAGGUAAUGUACCUUUGGGUGGGGAAUAACUUAGGGAAACUUAAGCUAAUACCGCAUAAUGCAGCGGCUUCUUCGGAAGACAGUUGUUAAAGAUUUAUCGCCUAAAGAGCAGCCUGCGGCAGAUUAGCUAGUUGGUAAGGUAACGGCUUACCAAGGCUACGAUCUGUAUCCGACCUGAGAGGGUGGUCGGACACACUGACACUGAAUAACGGGUCAGACUCCUACGGGAGGCAGCAGUCGGGAAUUUUGGGCAAUGGGCGAAAGCCUGACCCAGCAACGCCGCGUGAAGGAUGAAGUCUUUCGGGAUGUAAACUUCGUAAGAAUAGGAAGAAUAAAUGACGGUACUAUUUGUAAGGUCCGGCUAACUACGUGCCAGCAGCCGCGGUAAUACGUAGGGACCAAGCGUUGUUCGGAUUUACUGGGCGUAAAGGGCGCGUAGGCGGCGUGUCAAGUCAAUUGUGAAAUCUCCGAGCUUAACUCGGAACGGUCAAUUGAUACUGAUGUGCUAGAGUGCAGAAGGGGCAAUCGGAAUUCUUGGUGUAGCGGUGAAAUGCGUAGAUAUCAAGAGGAACACCUGAGGUGAAGACGGGUUGCUGGGCUGACACUGACGCUGAGGCGCGAAAGCUAGGGUAGCAAACGGGAUUAGAUACCCCGGUAGUCCUAGCCCUAAACGAUGAAUACUUGGUGUCUGGAGUUUUAAUUCUCCGGGUGCCGUCGCUAACGUUUUUAGUAUUCCGCCUGGGGAGUACGCACGCAAGUGUGAAACUCAAAGGAAUUGACGGGGACCCGCACAAGCGGUGGAGCAUGUGGUUUAAUUCGACGCAACGCGAAGAACCUUACCUGAACUAGAAUGCGAGGGAAGAUUACCUAAUAGU
rnacentral:rRNA from 1 species